ACAGAGAUAUGGCAUCAAAACUAAGAAUUCUCACAGUUCUCAUCGCUCUUGUUAUGCCUGUCUUCGCAUCCAAUGCAUUCACUGAAGAUAACACCGACAGUGAUAUUGGUACAUGGUUCGACGUCGAAGAACAAGCUAGUCCAGCAUAUGAGAAUUGUAUGAAGGCAAAUUCCAACGAAGAUUAUUGCAGGAAAGUAGAGAAUUUAGACAAAUUCUUACGCGGAAUGCCAA